UUCGCUAAUUAGAUACCCGACGGCAAAAGGAAAAAGUUGAAAAAAAAUUAUAUACUAUUAGCUUUGUAUUAAAAGCCUCGCGAAUAUUUUCUCUGUCAUUUUCAAACCGACGGUAAACAUGUUGCGAGUGUGACAAAAUGACACAAACUCUCUUAUUGUUCAUAUUACCCAAAAUUUCAUAGACCAUGAGCAAAUCAUCCGUGAACCCUAGAAAUUUUGAAAACCUCUGGUGAUUCGAAGACCGCUGGCGAUUCAAAGACCUCCACCCUCCGCCUUCUCUAUCUCUCACCAGGUCCCUUUCUCCUCCACCCUUUCUUUCCCUCUCAGUCAAUCGAUCUAUCAUCUGGAUUGGAGAUCGAUAGAUGGUGUGCCCGGAAGUGGUGAUGGUCUCAGUAGGGGAUUCGUUUUUGAGGCAAGGCUCAUAGCAGCAGAAGGAUAACUCUGCUUAAAUUUUCAGAUUUUGAGGUUUGUUAUAAUGUAUACGCCUCUCUCUCUCUCUCUUGUUGUUACCUUUGCCUAAAUUGAGUUUUGAUUUUUUUUUUCUUCUUCUUCGUGUUAUUACAGAGAAAAGACAAAGAUAAAACUUUUUUCUUUUUGUAAGAAAUUAUGAUACUCAAAAUUGGUUUUUUCUAAUUCAUAACUGCAUAAGAAAAUGAUAAAAGAUUAGGGAUUCUUGGUGAGUAUUUUGGUUGAGUUUAGUGCUUAAUUUAUUUCCAUUACAGAUUUUUGUGUGUUUAUUUUUUUUCAAUACAGUUUUUUGCUUUUGUGAUUCUCCUAUAGAUGAUGAUGUAGUGUAAAAUCCCACCCAUAAUUAUUCAUUGAAGUAGUUUUGUAGUAUUAAAGUUAUAGUUUGUACAUACUGGAAAUAUUUAUGGAAUAGAUUUCUUUUUCAUAAUAUUUUCUACUUCUUUUUUUUAUGUUUUGUUUAUACAGAUUCUCUAUUCUCUCUCAUUUCUUUUGUUUGAUUAGAGAUUACAUUUUUCAGUUUUUACAGGUCUUAUGAAAAUUAGGUGAUUGAUUUACUCAUUUGAGAAGUGUUAAAAACUGCUUUUGUUAAGGAUUUUUAAUGCAGAAUUUGAAGGAUUGUGUUUUUCAAUUUGUCUUGAAUUUCAAACUCUUAGCUUAUGUUAAAAGUUUUGCCCUUUUAGUUGGUUUAGCAAAAAUUUUAGUUAGGGUUGAUUUUACUGGCUUUUAAACAUUCCUUCCCCACUGGUUACUUGCUUCCUUCCCACUGGUUUACUUGCUUCUUUUUGUUUUGUAAAUGGUUUAAGUUAUGAUCUGUUAUGUUUUUUUUUUCUUAAUAAAUGAUUAAUGGAACAUGGAUUUUUGGCUAGGCGCUUAGUUAAUAUGAAUAUAGAUUUCUAGCUAAUGUGAUUGACAGGUUAUCUUAAUGUUUUAAAAGAACCCCCAUUUUGUAAUUUUGAGAGUGGUUUCUAAAUGCUGAAUUAUGUCUCAUGUCAUCUUUAUGGUGAAGAAGCUAUUUUUUGCAAGUUUAAUGAUAUUAAAAUAUUUAUUGGUAUUGCUUUUUGUUCAUUUGAGCCAGGAAGAAUGGCUUUACUUUUAUAUUAAUAUGCAUGUAAUUAUAUAUAUUUAAACUAAACCAAUUUACUUUGAUUUGGCUUUUCAGUAAAGUGUUUGAUUAUAUUUCUCAUUGAAAUGUGUUAGUUAUGUUUAUUAAGUGUUUGAUAUAAUUCCACAAUGAUAUUUUGAAGUGUUAAUUAUGUAAUUAGAAAUGCUAAAUUGUGAGGUAAUAUAUUGCGACGAUAUAAUUCAAUAUAUUUGGUAUAGAACUCAUUCAUUUAUUUGGUAGUCAAUAUUCUGAAGGGUCUAUCUCUCUCUCUUUGGUUGGCCUUCAUUAUAAGUUAAAUCUACAUUUUAAUUGGAAAUUCAAGAACUCAUCAUAGUUUUUAUAUAUCACCUAUAUAUAUUAUCACUGUAAUGGGAGUUUAUAAAACAAAAAUCUAUCAUAACUCUACUUUUUGUCUUAAUUUUCCCAUUAACAUCUCUAAUGGUUUUUCCUUAAGGUAGAGGGUAGUACUAGAUGUUUUGCUAUUGUUAUUAUUAUAAUAAUUAUUAUUAUUGGAUUUUGCAGGGAAGGAAAUUAAUGCUAGGACACUUCGAAUUCCACACAAAUUAUCUGGUGAUUUUGGACGAAGCGAUUACAAAACUUAACCCCGAUUUCUUCUGGUUGGGUGGCGGUGAGGUUGAUCUGAAGCUCGAGAUUAGAACCUUUGAAUUAUCGAUUGUGUGAAGCUUUUCAUUGAACGAUAGCUUGGAAUUGUUUAAGUCAGACGCUCCCUAUAGUAACGAGGAUAUCAAUGCAGUACGGGAUGAGUUGGCCGAAUUUGUGAAGCCUUUGAUUAUAGAUUAAGUACAAGGUUAUUAUUUUUGUUAUAAUACAUGAGUAACAAGUUUUAUGAUUGUUGUUAACUUUUGCAUAUGUAAUUAGUUUAAUUUAGUUUACGAUAUACAUGGAAUUUAAGUUUUAGAAUCGAUUCUAUUAACAAUUUUGGUAUUAUGUGAGUAGUUAAUAGAAUCGAUUAUUAAUUUUAUAUAAGUUUUAAAAAUGUUAUUUUAACUUUUUUUGUAUUAUGUUUAUACUAUUAUAAUUAUUCUAAAAUUUGAUAAUGCAGGUGGGGAAAAUUGUAUGAAAAUUUAUAAUUUUUCCUUACUUACAUUUGUGCUUCAUUUUAUAAGUGACGCAAUAGGUAAAAAAAAAAGUAUUUUGACAAUUGAUAUGACAUUUUUAAACCGACUUAAUAAGUAUUUUGUGACAGUUUUAAAAUGCCACGAAACAUUUAGCGUCAUUUUUUAACCGACGCAUAAAAUAAAAUAGAAAAGUAAGUAUUUAGCGUCGGUUUAUAAAUGUCGAAAAUUGUUUUUUGCGUCAUUUUAAAAAUGACGCUAAUAAAAAACUAUUUGCGACUACGGUAUAUACGUCGGUUUUAUAAACCGACGUAAAUUCUUUAAGUGACACUUAAAAACCGACGUGAAUUAUACUUUUUGUAGUAGUGAACUGCUCUCGUUUGCUUGUCCUUAACAAAACAACACGUUUUAUGGAAUUCAAGAAAGACAUGAUUGUCAUUAGUAAGCUUAGAAACACUAACUAAAUUUUUAGUAAUGGAAGGGACAUGUAAGACAGAAUUAAGAUGCAAAGAAGAGGAAGUUUUUGAGGGAAUGAAAGCUUUACCAAUGUGAGAGAUGAUAAGUUUCUUACCAUCACCCACGGCUACUGUUUCUUGGCCAGAAUAGGGAGUAGAUGAGUCAAGGGGAGCUUCAUUGUAGGAGAUGUGAUGAGUUGCACCAGUAUCAACAUACCAACCUUGAUCAUCACCAAAAUCAGGGAUGGUUUGAGCCACAAAUGCAGUAGGGUCAUAUUCAAGAACCUGUUCUGUGAGAUGAGCUUGUGGAGAUGGGUUGCCAACUACAGAUUUGGGAGUAAUCCAGUUCUUAUCGAACCUGUAGUGGCAAGUUGGAGCUGUGUGGCCAUAACGCAUGCAGACUUGACACAAAGGGCGAUUUGGGUUUUGAGAUCUGGUGUACUGAGAUGGAUGAUGAUUCUUGGGGGGAAAUCUGGAAAAUGAAUCAGUAGAAGAGCCUCGAACUUGAGUGUUAUUGGUGUGAGAUCUGUAUCCACCAUUUCUUGACCCAAAUGUAAGAUUAGCAGCCAUCUUAGUUGAGAGAUCCAUCAUAGUGGUGUGUCGCUCAAGCCUUGUUUCAUGGGACAUGAGAAGGGCUUGUACCUCCUCAAGAGAGAAAGUAUCACUUCGAGAUGUGAUACCAGAGACCACCGAGUCAUACUCAGGUCCAAGACCAUUUAGAAGAUGAAGGACCAAGUCAAUAUCAGAUAUAGGAUGACCCGCAACAGCAAGAGAAUCACACAGAAUUUUAAUUUUGUCAACAUAAUCUGAAAUUGAUUGGUUACCUUUGUGAAUAUUGGAUAAUUGACUCUUUAGUUGUAGUAAUCGAGCCUUGGAUUGGCUAGAAAAUUUUUGUUCCAGGGCUUUCCACACACCAUUGGAGCUAGUAAAACUUGCCACAGUGCCAAGAAUCCCUUCGGUCAUUGAAGAUCUAAGCCAAGAAAGAAGAAGUUGAUCUUUCUUGCGCCAUUGUUGAUAAGCAGGAUUUGGAGCAUUAUUGAGAAGAAACCGUGGGGGAGACUGAUCAGUGAGAAGGAUCUCAUCAAGCUCAUGGCCAAUCACAGUGGGAAGAAUCUGUGAUUUCCAUGCUAAGAAGUUUGUGCGAUCGAGUUUGAUGGUUAGAGAGGAAGUAAGUGAGUGAGAAAACGGGUUCCAGGACUGAGCUGCCAUUGCAGAGGGGUUUGCACCAGGAUCGGAGACACCAGCUGGGGACGAGUUGUCACCAGAAGACGCCAUUGACAGAGGUCAAUGGCUCUGAUACCAUGAAAACUUAGAGAACAGGGAGAAACAGAGAGAGAAAGAGAGUAACACAAAGGAUUGCUUUAUAAUACUUGCCUCAAUAAUGAGGAUUUACACUUUAUUUAUAGAACACAAGAAUGGUACAAUUACAUAACAGAUUUCUGUUAAGAAAACAGAAAAGGAAAAGUGCAGAGAAAAUAAACAAGUUGCUAACAACUAACUAACUAAUGUAACAGUACCAAAACUAAAACUAACAGAAUUAACUCUCUUGGUUAUCAGGGAUAAUAUAUAUAAAUAUAUAUAGUACAAUGAAAUAAAAGGGAAAUUUGAAUUUGUAUGCAUAAUAAAUAAUAAAAUUGGAUACCUAAUACAAUAGUAGAUAUAAUUUGUAAAGUGGGAUACAUUUUACUAAAACCCAAUUUUACCCCCUCAUUUGAAAAGUCACUCUCUCUCUCUUCGUCCCCUAUUCUCUCAAACCAAAAGGGAUCCCAACCAAAAUUCGCCCAAACGCACGAUGAGCAGACCCGACCCCUCUCCACCGCGUACGACCGAAGCCCCAGCCCCCUCUCCACCGCGCAGGACCAAUUCUCCAGCCCCCCUCCACGGCGUACGAAGGUCCAGCCAUCCUCCACCGCGUACGACCCAAACGGAAAUGGCCAAGUCUUCCAAAGUUCCACGACUUUUACUGCCAGUGUCUGAACAUUACACUGGUCGUGUUACUUGGCGGGGCGGUAGUUACUAUUACCCCAAAGUAAAAGCCAAGUUUGUACAAAUGCAGUUGUUGGAAAGGGUGAAGGAGGAAUCCCCUUUCAACAAUUUUUUUGAGAGAGAGCCAUUAGCGUUUUCAGGUGCUCUUAUCCAUCAACUCUUCAUGCAUAAGAUAAAAUCAGAUAAAGAUGAUGAGGUGCAUUUUUAUAUUGCAAAGAAGAGAUGCCGAUUCGGCCGAACUGAGUUUGCCUUGGUGACUGGGCUUAAUUUGUUACGUGGACCGACUGAGGCUGAGGUUUCGGAGAGGGCGACGUCAGACCGUUUGAUAGUAGAAUAUUUUAAUGGGGAUCCAUCUAUCAGCAUUGGUCGUCUGCGCAGCGUCUUUGAGAUCGAGCUGCACUGAGAAGGAUGAUUGUUACAAGUUGGGUUUGGUGCUGUUCGUUAUGGGUGUUCUGACUGGGAAAGAAGAGAAGACCCUGGUUCCCCCAUUUAUCAUUAGAAUGGUUGAGGACCUCCCUUUUUUCUACAAUUACCCGUGGGGGAAAAUUUCUUUCAACUUGUUGAAAGAUACUUGGAGUAAGGACUUCGUACAAAAGAAAAAGCAUAUGGAUGAGAAGAUUGAGAAGGGAACGACUCAGAAGGAGUCAAAGUAUUCGGCCUAUGGAUAUGCUGUAGCAUUGCAGUAUUGGGCUUAUGAGUCCAUCCUCGAGCUUGCUGAGAAAUUUGCAAUCAGAAGAUCGCAUCGCUUUCCACGAAUGGUGAACUGGGAAAGUAAGGAUGCCCCACUCGGGAAAGAGGAAGUCAUCAGAUUAUUUGCAAAAAAAGUGAGUUUGUUAAUUCAUUGCAUUUGCUUACGUUUAUUUAUU